UUGACAAUGAAGAGUUUGAUCCUGGCUCAGGAUGAACGCUAGCGGCAGGCCUAACACAUGCAAGUCGAGGGGUAACAGGAAGUG
rnacentral:rRNA from 1 species